AUUGAACGCUGGCGGCAGGCCUAACACAUGCAAGUCGAGCGAGCGGCGGACGGGUGAGUAAUGCAUGGGAAUGGCCAAGUAGAGGGGGAUAAAAGUUGGAAACGACUGCUAAUACCGCAUAAGCUUGGAUUGACCAGGUGGGAUUAGCUCGUGGGUGAGGUAAUGGCUCACCAAGGCGACGACCCCUAGCUGGUCUGAGAGGAUGAUCGGCCACACUGGAACUGAGACACGGUCCAGACUCCUACGGGAGUCAGCAGUGGGGAAUAUUGCACAAUGGGGGAAACCCGGAUGCAGCCAUGGCGCGUGUGUGAAGAAGGCCUUCGGGUUGUAAAGCACUUUCAGCGAAGAGGCGUUACUCGCAGAAGAAGCACCGGCUAACUCCGUGCCAGCAGCCGCGGUAAUUC
rnacentral:rRNA from 1 species